ACGCUUCUUUUUCCACCGGAGCUUGCUCCACCGGAAAAAGAGGAGUGGCGAACGGGUGAGUAACACGUGGGUAACCUGCCCAUCAGAAGGGGAUAACACUUGGAAACAGGUGCUAAUACCGUAUAACAAUCGAAACCGCAUGGUUUUGAUUUGAAAGGCGCUUUCGGGUGUCGCUGAUGGAUGGACCCGCGGUGCAUUAGCUAGUUGGUGAGGUAACGGCUCACCAAGGCCACGAUGCAUAGCCGACCUGAGAGGGUGAUCGGCCACAUUGGGACUGAGACACGGCCCAAACUCCUACGGGAGGCAGCAGUAGGGAAUCUUCGGCAAUGGACGAAAGUCUGACCGAGCAACGCCGCGUGAGUGAAGAAGGUUUUCGGAUCGUAAAACUCUGUUGUUAGAGAAGAACAAGGAUGAGAGUAACUGUUCAUCCCUUGACGGUAUCUAACCAGAAAGCCACGGCUAACUACGUGCCAGCAGCCGCGGUAAUACGUAGGUGGCAAGCGUUGUCCGGAUUUAUUGGGCGUAAAGCGAGCGCAGGCGGUUUCUUAAGUCUGAUGUGAAAGCCCCCGGCUCAACCGGGGAGGGUCAUUGGAAACUGGGAGACUUGAGUGCAGAAGAGGAGAGUGGAAUUCCAUGUGUAGCGGUGAAAUGCGUAGAUAUAUGGAGGAACACCAGUGGCGAAGGCGGCUCUCUGGUCUGUAACUGACGCUGAGGCUCGAAAGCGUGGGGAGCAAACAGGAUUAGAUACCCUGGUAGUCCACGCCGUAAACGAUGAGUGCUAAGUGUUGGAGGGUUUCCGCCCUUCAGUGCUGCAGCUAACGCAUUAAGCACUCCGCCUGGGGAGUACGACCGCAAGGUUGAAACUCAAAGGAAUUGACGGGGGCCCGCACAAGCGGUGGAGCAUGUGGUUUAAUUCGAAGCAACGCGAAGAACCUUACCAGGUCUUGACAUCCUUUGACCACUCUAGAGAUAGAGCUUCCCCUUCGGGGGCAAGUGACAGGUGGUGCAUGGUUGUCGUCAGCUCGUGUCGUGAGAUGUU
rnacentral:rRNA from 1 species